UGGGGAAUAUUGGACAAUGGGGGCAACCCUGAUCCAGCCAUGCCGCGUGAGUGAUGAAGGCCCUAGGGUUGUAAAGCUCUUUUGUGCGGGAAGAUAAUGACGGUACCGCAAGAAUAAGCCCCGGCUAACUUCGUGCCAGCAGCCGCGGUAAUACGAAGGGGGCUAGCGUUGCUCGGAAUCACUGGGCGUAAAGGGUGCGUAGGCGGGUUUCUAAGUCAGAGGUGAAAGCCUGGAGCUCAACUCCAGAACUGCCUUUGAUACUGGAAGUCUUGAGUAUGGCAGAGGUGAUGGAACUGCGAGUGUAGAGGUGAAAUUCGUAGAUAUUCGCAAGAACACCAGUGGCGAAGGCGGCUCACUGGGCCAUUACUGACGCUGAGGCACGAAAGCGUGGGGAGCAAAACAGGGAUUAGAUACCCUGGUAGUCCACGCCGUAAACGAUGAAUGCCAGCCGUUAGUGGGUUUUACUCACUAGUGGCGCAGCUAACGCUUUUAAGCAUUCCGCCUGGGGAGUACGGUCGCAAGAUU
rnacentral:rRNA from 1 species